AUUGAACGCUGGCGGCAGGCUUAACACAUGCAAGUCGAGCGAGCGGCGGACGGGUGAGUAAUGUCUGGGAAACUGCCUGAUGGAGGGGGAUAACUACUGGAAACGGUCGCUAAUACCGCAUACCUUCCUAUGUGCCCAGAUGGUUUUAGCUUGUCGGUGGGGUAAUGGCUCACCUGGGCGACGAUCCCGAGCUGGGCUGAGAGGAUGACCAGCCACACUGGAAAUGAGAGAAGGGACAGACUCCUACGGGAGGCAGCAGUGGGGAAUAUUGGACAAUGGGCGCAAGGCUGAUGCAGCCAUGCCGGGUGUGUGAAGAGGGCCUUCGGGUUGUAAAGCACUUUCAGCGAGGAGGCGGUACUCGCAGAAGAAGCACCGGCUAACUCCGUGCCAGCAGCCGCGGUAAUAC
rnacentral:rRNA from 1 species